AUUGAACGCUGGCGGCAGGCCUAACACAUGCAAGUCGAGCGGAAACGAAGGGAGCUUGCUCCCAGGCGUCGAGCGGCGGACGGGUGAGUAACACGUGAGAAUCUGCCCAUUAGGGGGGGACAACUCGGGGAAACUCGAGCUACUACCCCAAAAUCCCUACGGGGGAAGGCAGGGGACCUUUUGGCCUUGCGCUGUGGGAGGAGCUCACGUCGGAUUAGCUUGUUGGUGAGGUAAAGGCUAACCAAGGCGACGACCCGUAGCUGGUCGGAGAGGACGAUCAGCCACACUGGGACUGAGACACGGCCCAGACUCCUACGGGAGUCAGCAGUGGGGAAUCUUGGACAAUGGGGGCAACCCUGAUCCAGCCAUGCCGCGUGUGUGAAGAAGGCCUUCGGGUUGUAAAGCACUUUCAGCAGGGAGGAAGGCUUUGGCCGAAUAGGUUGAAGUACUUGACGUUACCUGCAGAAGAAGCACCGGCUAAUUUCGUGCCAGCCGCCGCAGUAA
rnacentral:rRNA from 1 species